CCCCCAAAGCCCUGAUUUUAAAAAGUCAACAUCAAGGGGCGUCUGGGUGGCUCAGUAGGUGAAGCGACUGACUUAUGAUUUUGGCUCAGGUCAUGAUCUCAUGGGUCGCCAAGACUGAUCUCGGUCUGCCCUGUGCUCAGCGGGGUAGUCUGUUUGAGACUCUCUCCCUCCCUCCCCCCCACCCCCAACUUGCACCCAUGUCCCUAUACACUCUCUCUCAAAUAUAUAAAUAUAUCUUAAAAAAAAAAAGUCAAUCUCAAAAACUCUUGCAUCAUGUAUUGGAAAAAGAGGCUUUUCACUUUUCAGUCUUUGGUAAGGAACUAGGGUUGAAACUUAAAGGAUUUUAGAUUUUAAUUAUUAAAGUAAUUGAGUUGAACAACUGUGCUCCUAAACAAAGCUAUAUAAUAAGACAAUUGAUCUAUCAUCUAUAUCUUCCUCUUUUUCACUAUAUUCCACAGAUAGAAGUUAUAUGUGGGUUUCUUUUUUUUUUUUUAAGAUUUUAUUUAUUUGAGAGAGAGAGCAUGAGAAGGGAGAGGGUCAGAGGGAGAAACAGAUUCCCUGCUGAGCAGGGAGCCCGAUGUGGGACUCAAUCCCAGGACCCCAGGAUAAUGACCUGAGCUGAAGGCAGUCGCUUACCCAACUGAGCCACCCAGGCGCCCUAUAUGUGAGUUUCUUAAUAAAAAACCAAGGACACCAAAGGAAGCUAGAAUCAAAUGUUAAGUGGUGUAAUGAAACAAAAUUAAUGGAAUUUAUAGGAAGCAGGAACCCAGAAAAAGACCUUCUGGAAAAGAAUGAGAAAAAAAAAACCCUAAAUAUUUGCCUUAAUGGAGUAAUAAUUUUCUAAUUAUAGCCAAACACUUAGCUGGAGAUGCUGGAAGAUAGGAGUGGGUGAGAGAGAAGGAUACAAUGGAACGUUUAAUAGCCCAGAACAAGUCCUCUCAAUUUCCACUGCUUCCAGCUGUCAGAGGUACUACUGUGUCUCAUACCUCUUUGCUUUUGCACAUACUAUUCCCUCGCUGGGAAGGUGGCCCCACCCUUUGGUACUUUAUCUGAACUUUGCAUCUGUUACAACUCAACUCUCAUAUUAGCAAUCCUCUAGGAAUUCCUUUGUCUACAUGUCUUUUUUUCACAUAAGCCUACAAGCUUUUUGAGGAUACAAGUAAUACAUGAAUACAUUGUUCUGGCAAAAGUUUUAAAUAGUACACAUAGAGCUCAAGUCUCCUGGAUCUUUCUUCUCCCCAUUGCUCUUUCCAGAGGUAACAAUUUGAUUAACACAUAUUUAUUAACUGCCUACUAUGUACCAGGCCCUGUUCUAGAAGCUGUGAAUACAGCAAUAAGUUAAAAAAAAAAAUU